rnacentral:rRNA from 1 species
UAGAUACCCUGGUAGUCCACGCCCUAAACGAUGUCAAUUAGCUGUUGGGCAACUUGAUUGCUUAGUAGCGUAGCUAACGCGUGAAAUUGACCGCCUGGGGAGUACGGUCGCAAGAUUAAAACUCAAAGGAAUUGACGGGGACCCGCACAAGCGGUGGAUGAUGUGGAUUAAUUCGAUGCAACGCGAAGAACCUUACCUGGUCUUGACAUGUACGGAAUCCUCCAGAGACGGAGGAGUGCCUUCGGGAGCC